rnacentral:rRNA from 1 species
GAUAAACGCUGGCGGCGUGCAUAACACAUUCAAGUCGAACGAAGCACUAUCGAUGAGACCCUUCGGGUGGAUUUGAUAUUGACUUAGUGGCGGACGGGUGAGUAACGCGUGAGCAACCUGCCUUUGUGAGCGGAAUAACGUUGGGAAACCGGCGCUAAUACCGCAUAACAAGUCCAGACGGCAUCGUCAAGACUUCAAAGAUUUAUCGCACAAAGAUGGGCUCGCGUCUGAUUAGCUAGUUGGUAAGGUAACGGCUUACCAAGGCGACGAUCAGUAGCCGGACUGAGAGGUUGAACGGCCACAUUUGGAACUGAGAUACGGUCCAGACUCCUACGGGAGGCAGCA